GACGAACGCUGGCGGCGUGCUUAACACAUGCAAGUCGAACGGUAAGGCCCUUCGGGGUACACGAGUGGCGAACGGGUGAGUAACACGUGGGUGAUCUGCCCUGCACUUCGGGAUAAGCCUGGGAGACUGGGUCUAAUACCGGAUAGGACUCCUGGCUUCAUGGUUGGGGGUGGAAAGCUUUUGCGGUGUGGGAUGGGCCCGCGGCCUAUCAGCUUGUUGGUGGGGUAAUGGCCUACCAAGGCGACGACGGGUAGCCGGCCUGGGAGGGUGACCGGUCACACUGGGACUGAGAUACGGCCCAGACUCCUACGGGAGGCAGCAGUGGGGAAUAUUGCACAAUGGGCGCAAGCCUGAUGCAGCGACGCCGCGUGAGGGAUGACGGCCUUCGGGUUGUAAACCUCUUUCAGCUAUGACGAGGCGCAAGUGACGGUAGUAGCAGAAGAAGGACCGGCCAACUACGUGCCAGCCGCCGCCGUAA
rnacentral:rRNA from 1 species